rnacentral:lncRNA from 1 species
CCGCGACUCGCCCGGGCAGGGGGGUGGGUAGGUGGGGGGCCGAAAGAAGCAGCCCGCGGGCAGGUCGCGAACAGCAGCGCUGUUCUUCGCCUCAGUCAGACGCCAAGGAAAAGGCAGCUGCGGCGGCGGUCCUGCUAGCAGCCCAGAAGGGCUUGGGCGUGAGGGCGCUCCAGCUUCUGCAUCUCCAGGCGCCCUUCCAUCCGACNCUUCAGAACCUCAUGAAUCAUCUCUACUCUGAUUGCUGCUCUCAGUUACCNUGUUUCAGACCUCUGCAAAUAGCAAAUGCUGCCUCCGCUGCUCAGAGCAAAGCCAAUGGGGUCAGGCUAAAUCCAGAGGAAUGGACAGAUUUCUGUGUGAGCCGAGGCUGGAUUGGAUUCUUUGGGAAAACCACUUCUUUGAAGACCUUAUAG